UACCCCCUGAAGUGUGCGCCAGUUGACUGUUUUUACCCACAUCUUACCUUAGGGCAUCCGGGUCAGCGGCAUGAUGCCAGGCCCCCGUUCACGCGAUGGGGAAGGCUGAGUGAAGUUGCAGGACGCCUACCUGCUGAACAUAGCGGGUGAAAAAACGGUUGGCAGCGGCACUUUGGGCUAUCC
rnacentral:other from 1 species